UACGAGGGGUGCAAGCGUUGCUCGGAAUUAUUGGGCGUAAAGGGUUGGUAGGUGGUCUUGUUUGUCUAGGGUGAAAUCCCAUGGCUUAACUGUGGAAGUGCCCUAGAAACGGCAAGACUAGAGUCCUAGAGGGGUUUGUGGAAUUCCCGGUGUAGCGGUGAAUGCGUAGAGAUCGGGAGGAACACCAGCGGCGAAGGCGGCAAACUGGAUAGGCACUGACACUCAACAACGAAAGCGUGGGGAGCAAACAGG
rnacentral:rRNA from 1 species